AUGAGGCUCGAGUUUCUCUAUCUUCAUUUGAACCAGUUGUCAGGCCAGAUCCCUCCUCAGAUGAUGCUACGCAGGCGUAACCUUACACAGAUUAAUCUGUACGGGAACGGCUUGAGUGGACAAAUACCUCCGUAUUUGUUCAACAACACGGCUAUGUUGACGUUCAUUAAUUUUGGAAACAAUAGUCUCUCAGGUCCUCCACACGCCGUUACAUCACUAUCCAUGCUUGAAUUAUUAAGACUGGAUUUUAAUCAACUCUCUGGCCUAGUGCCACAAGCCAUGUUCAACAUGUCUAGAUUACAGGAAAUUCCACUAGUAAAUAAUCGUAACCUGACUAGAACUUUUCCGAGCAAUCAAAGUUUCAGCCUCCCUAUGUUACAGUUUAUUUCCAUAUAUGGUAACAAAUUUGCCGGUCGGUUACCAUCAGGGUUUGCAUCAUGUCAAUACCUACAAGUAAUUGAUUUGCACGAAAAUUCUUUUGUGGAUGUUCUGCCAACAUGGUUGGCCAAAUUGACAAACCUCAAAAAACUUAACUUGGGUUUUAAUCACCUUAUUGGCUCGAUCCCGGCGGCCUUUGGUAAUCUUACAAAACUCACUCAACUACAACUCGCAAACGGCAGUCUAACAGGUGAGAUUCCACCAGAAUUAGGUCUUAUGCAGGAACUCUCUUAUCUAGAUCUUCAAUACAACCAAUUGAUUGGUAAAUUUCCAGCUUCGCUCGGUAACUUAUCCAAAUUGUCCUACCUAAAUUUCCAAGUGAAUCAGUUGUCCGGUCAAGUACCAUCAAUGCUUGGAACAAAUACAGUUUUGAAUAUUCUUGCUUUGGGAGACAACAAUUUAGAGGGGAAUCUAGAUUUCUUGUCAGCUCUUUCCAAGUGCAGACAACUCCAAUUCCUUGAUUUUGAAAAAAAUCGUUUUACAGGCACCAUCCCUGGUUAUGUGGGAAAAUUCUCAACACGUUUAAACUAUUUUGGUGCAGGUGCCAACCAGUUGACAGGUGGACUUCCAGUAGCAAUUUCAAAUAUAAGCAACCUUCUAUGGAUUGAUUUUCGGGAUAACCUAUUCACCGAGCCAAUUCCAGAAUCUAUCACUAUGCUGGAAAAUCUUGCAUGGCUUGAUCUCUCCUGGAAUAACAUGCCAGGCCCUAUCCCUACACAAAUGGGUAUGCUUCGAAGUCUAGAACGAUUGUUUCUCCAAGCCAACAAAUUAUCAGGCUCCAUACCAAGAAACUUUGGUAAUCUUAGUUGGUUAGAAAGCAUAGACUUGUCAUAUAACCAGUUAAGCUCAACGAUACCAACGAGUUUCUUCCACCUGGAUAAACUUAUCACACUUGAUCUUUCACACAAUUCCUUUACCGGUGAAGUACCGGUAGAUGUUACUGGCCUAAGACAAACAUAUCAAAUAGACAUGUCUUCUAACUUGUUGAUAGGAAGCAUACCAGAAACAUUUGGACAACUUAGUAUGCUUACUUACCUAAAUCUAUCACAUAACUCCUUCAAAGGCUCAAUUCCAGUUCAUCUCGAAAAAGUAAAAAGACUAGCAUCAUUGGACCUCUCGUUUAACAAUCUUUCGGGUACAAUUCCAGUGUUCCUUGCUAACUUUACGUACUUGAAUACCUUGAACCUAUCGUUCAAUAGGCUAGAAGGACAAAUACCCGAGGGAGGUGUUUUCUCAAACCUCACAUUGAAAUCUUUGGUUGGGAAUCCUGGGCUAUGCGGCGCUCCGCGACUAAGAUUUCCACCAUGCCUUGAUAGAAAUCAUUCAAGUAAAAGACACUUGCUUCAAUUUCUACUGCCAACACUCAUAUUAGCUUUUGGCGCCAUUGCCAUUUACGUAUACCUAUGGUUCAGAAAGAAACUUAAGAAGGGAAAGGACAAUGCUUCUGUUGAUCCAACUGAUGCCAUAGGCCAUCAAAUAGUCUCCUAUCAUGAGCUUGUUCGCGUCACCAAUAAUUUCAGUGAUGAAACACAUCUUGGGAUGCGGAAGCUUUGGAAAAGUUUUUAA
rnacentral:rRNA from 1 species